rnacentral:rRNA from 1 species
AUGCAUGGCCCCGCCACCCAGCGACGUAGAGCAGACACAGGCACGAGAAUAAAUAUCAGAGAGAGAGGUAUAGAGCAGAGCAGAGCAAUGGAGUCCGACAUGGAGAUGAGCUUGGAUUUCUCUUGGGAGACGCCUAGCUUCUUCGAGCUCUGCGGCGCAGAUAGCAUGCACCUGCCGGCUGAGGACUCUCUGUCAUGUCUGUACGACGACUCGACGAGCUCGCCGGACGGCGCCAGCUCGGGGCUGACGAGGAGGUGGGCUGGGAGGAACAUGCUCAACGAGAGGGACAGGCGCAGGAGGCUUAACGAGAAGCUCUACGCCAUUCGCGGCGUCGUUCCAAACAUCACCAAGAUGAACAAGGCGUCCAUCAUCCAGGACGCCAUCGCCUACAUCGAGGAGCUGCAGGAGCAGGAGCGCCAGAUUCUCGCCGCCCCGGAACCGAUGGCUGUGCCGCCGUAGUCCAGGCGGACUCGACCGUGGACGACGGUGUCGGCUCCCCUCCACGGAAGAUUAGGAGGACUACCUCCGCCUCCUCCAUCUGUUCCCCUGCCACGCAUCCGGUCCAAAUCCUUGAGCUGGAGGUGACGCAGGUGGUGGAGGAUCUGGCAGUGGUUAACGUGAGACAUAGAAAAGCGCUGGAGGCCAUGGCGAAGGUGUAUGGGGGUGCUCGAGUUGCUCUGUCUCAAUGUCAUCACGGCAAGUGUGACCGUCGUGGCUGACAACAUUGUCCACAACAUGUUCAUCCAGACGAAUGGAAUGGAUUGUGCUCAAACGAUCAAGGAGAUGGUACAGUCUCACUCAGUCAUCUCAAUGUGAGAAGAUGAUACCCGAAGUCCAUGAAUCCCUAAUGAAGAUUAUAUGUUGCAACGAAUGCACAAAUUGGUAGCCCAAUUACCUACACCUUAUUCAAUUUCACUCUCAUACUAUAGUCAUCUUCAAAUAAGGUGACAACAGUUGAAACUAACUAUAUGAUCGAAGAAAUAGACAUGUUCUAUGGACUUAAUGCUAGUGUGCAUGCACUCCAUAUAAAUUGGAAAUGAUGCGAAAAGAUAUGGUAUAUCGUCUCUGGUUAUGAG